UCCCCCGCGGGCGGCGCGCGCCCCGACCCCGACCCCGACCCCGAGCCCGAACCCGGCGGGCCCCACCGGCCGGCAGCCGCGCCCGCCCCGCGCCGGACACUCGGCGCCCCGGAGCCCGGAGCCUGCGCGGACGCCCGCGGGGCCGCCAACCCCGGCCCCGGCCCGCGCCCGCCCUGCGCCGCGGAGCCCGACGGCGUCUGCCCCCCGCCUUGCCCCGACGCCGCUCCUCUCCGCGGACGGGCUCUCGGCCACGGUCCGCUCGCGGGCGGCGACGUGGGCUUGUUCCCCGGCUUCCCGGCGCCCGCGGGGGGCGAGCUGGCCCUGGACGUGGGCCCCGAGGCCCCGGGGCGGCCCCCGGACUUCGGCCACCCCUGCCCGCUCGCGACCGAGCCCGCCGCGUGUCCGGAGGACGGCCCCCGCCUCCGCGCCGUGUUUGACGCCCUGGACGGCGACGGGGACGGCUUGGUCCGCAUCGAGGAUUUCGUCCAGUUCGCAACGGUGUACGGCGCGGACCAGUCUAACAGGCACACAGACGUAUGUGACUGACCCUGUCCUACGUGGACAGUGUGGAUGCGAUUUUUCCUGCUUUUCCUUCAUGCCGCUGGGCUGGAGAGCGCCUUGUUUUCUACGAGUGCCGUGUGUCUCCCCUCCUGCGUGCCCUUCCUGGGUCCCAUCAGAGUUUGCUUUUAUAGAGCAGCAUGCAGAAGCUGAAGGCAGAGGAAAACAGCAUGAUGUUGAGCAGUAUGAGAACCCAAAGACCGUUCAUUUUGUACUCACUUAAACGUUUUCCCCACUGUCGAGUAUCUCCUGGUAAUUAAAAAAAUAAACAACAAAACAUUUUCCUAGGCGUUGGGUCU
rnacentral:lncRNA from 12 species